UACAUGUGGGGCAAGCGUUGUUCGGAAUUACUGGGCAUAAAGGGUGCGUAGGCGGCUUGUUAAGUCAGGGGUGAAAUCCCACGGCCCAACCGUGGAACUGCCUUUGAUACUGGCGAGCUUGAGUGCGUGAGGGGUAACCGGAACGAGUAGUGUAGCGGUGAAAUGCGUAGAUAUCGUAAGGAAGACCAGUGGCGAAGGCGGGUCUCUGGACAGUUCCUGACGCUGAGGCACGAAGGUCAGGGGAGCAAACGGG
rnacentral:rRNA from 1 species